rnacentral:lncRNA from 1 species
GUUAAACUAUAAUCUAAUCUCUUCUUGAUACAUUUACAUAAGUUAGUUAUUUAUGUUAUUACACAAAGAGUUGUAACUCUUCAAGUUGUGUCCUUUAGUAUAAAGAGUUGUGUCUCUUAUACUUGUAUUGAUUCGAUCUCUAUAUAAAGAUCAAUCAUCUGUUGUAAACAUAUUACCGAAUCUCAAUAAUACAAAAGUAUUUUCAG